GCUAAGGCUGAGCGAGGGCGGAGGCGGGCGUUGCCUAUUGGCCGGGAGCACCCCCAGAACACUCCCCGCAGACCGGGCCCUGAGGCUAGUGCCGGCAGAAGUCACUCCAAGUGCAGAACCGCCUGUUCCAACUCCGACCCAGAGAGAUGUGCCUGUCAUACUGGAGCAAGGGAAAGGCAUGGCAGUUGGAGCAGCAGCUGGGAACUGACAUCUUGAAUUGCAGUAUGUAUGCUGUAGAGGGUCAAGUGCAAGAAGUGGCCCAAGGUCUUUGGAAGAGCCCAGAACAUGAUCGAGUAAUGUGGCAACUUCCUGUUGAAGACUUGCCUUGGCAGUGUCCGUGUGUAGACAUGUCUGGUGUCUGUAUUGUCUGCAUAGUCAAUAGGUUAUCGAGUGCAUAUUUCUGAAAUCCCUGGAAAUCUCUAGUCUAUCAAUCUCACCCUGUUAAUUGAUACUCAGGCUCAUAUGUCUGUGUAGGAAUAAAUAAAGGUCUGACUACUUUGAACUUAA